UUAAGUAACGAUAAUCCCGGUGAAAAACCGGGACACCGAAAGACUAAGGUUUCCUGAUCAACGCUAAUCGGAUCAGGGUUAGUCGGGACCUAAGGCGUACCCAAACGGGAUAGCUAAUGGAUAUCAGGUUAAUAUUCCUGUACUUCCUUACAGUGCAAGGUAGGGACGUGAACAUCAGGUGCUUACGUACUGACGGAAUAGUGCGUCGAGCCUAGCCUUUGGGCGAAGCAAAAGCAAGUAGUGUCCACCAAGAAAAGCUACCAAAGCUUCAGCUGUAAGGAACUCGUACCGCAAACCAACACAGGUAGUCGAGGAGAGUAUCCACAGGUGCUCGAGUGAUUCAUGGCUAAGGAACUAGGCAAAUUGACCCUGUAACUUCGGAAGAAAGGGUCCCCGACUACGGUCGGGGCGCAGAGAAAUGGCCCAGGCGACUGUUUAACAAAAACACAUGGCUUUGCUAAAUCGAAAGAUGACGUAUAAGGCCUGACACCUGCCCGGUGCUGGAAGGUUAAGGGGAGAGGUUAUCCCGACUCGUCGGGAGAAGCUUCAAACUGAAGCCCCAGUAAACGGCGGCCGUAACUAUAACGGUCCUAAGGUAGCGAAAUUCCUUGUCGGGUAAGUUCCGACCUGCACGAAUGGUGUAACGAUCUGGGCACUGUCUCAGCCAUGAGCUCGGUGAAAUUGUAGUAGCGGUGAAGAUGCCGCUUACCCGCAACGGGACGGGAAGACCCCGUGAACCUUUACUAUAGCUUAACAUUGACUCUGGAUAAAUGAUGUGUAGGAUAGGUGGGAGACUGUGAAGUCCCAACGCCAGUUGGGAUGGAGUCAACCUUGAAAUACCACCCUUCGUUUAUUCGGAGCCUAAUCCCCUCUAUCGCGGGAAACAGUGUUUGGUGGGUAGUUUGACUGGGGUGGUCGCCUCCAAAAACGUAACGGAGGCUCUCAAAGGUACCCUCAGCACGCUUGGUAACCGUGCGUCGAGUGCAAUGGCAUAAGGGUGCUUGACUGCGAGACUUACUAGUCGAACAGGUAGGAAACUAGGACAUAGUGAUCCGGUGGUCCCAUAUGGAAGGGCCAUCGCUCAAAGGAUAAAAGGUACUCCGGGAUAACAGGCUGAUCACUCCCAAGAGCUCACAUCGACGGAGUGGUUUGGCACCUCGAUGUCGGCUCGUCAUAUCCUGGGGCUGGAGAAGGUCCCAAGGGUUCGGCUGUUCGCCGAUUAAAAUGGCACGCGAGCUGGGUUCAGAACGUCGUGAGACAGUUCGGUCCCUAUCUGUUGCGGGCGUGGGAAGUUUGAGGGGACCUGACCUUAGUACGAGAGGACCAGGUUGGACAAACCGCUAGUGUACCUGCUGUGGCGCCUAGCUGCACCGCAGGGUAGCUAUGUUUGGACGAGAGAAGUGCUGAAAGCAUCUAAGUACGAAACUCACCCCAAGAUGAGACUUCCAUUGAGGGCCCUUGUAGACUACAAGGUCGAUAGGCUGCAGGUGUAAAGAUGGUAACAUCCGUGCCAAGCAGUACUAAUCGCCCAAUACUUUAUCUC
rnacentral:rRNA from 1 species